UACGUAGGGUGCAAGCGUUGUCCGGAAUUAUUGGGCGUAAAGAGCUCGUAGGCGGUUUGUCGCGUCGAAUGUGAAAACCCGGGGCUCAACCCCGGGCCUGCAUUCGAUACGGGCAGACUAGAGUUCGGUAGGGGAGUCUGGAAUUCCUGGUGUAGCGGUGAAAUGCGCAGAUAUCAGGAGGAACACCGGUGGCGAAGGCGGGACUCUGGGCCGAUACUGACGCUGAGGCGCGAAAGCUAGGGGAGCAAACGGG
rnacentral:rRNA from 1 species